AGAGUUUGAUCCUGGCUCAGGAUGAACGCUAGCUACAGGCUUAACACAUGCAAGUCGAGGGGCAGCAUGGUACUUAGCUGCUAAGGCCGAUGGCGACCGGCGCACGGGUGAGUAACGCGUAUCCAACCUGCCUUACACGUCUUGGACAGCCUUACUGAAAGGGAGAUUAAUACAAGAUGUUAUCAUGAGUAAGCAUUUUCGCAUGAUUAAAGGUUUACCGGUGUAAGAUGGGGAUGCGUUCCAUUAGAUAGUAGGCGGGGUAACGGCCCACCUAGUCUUCGAUGGAUAGGGGUUCUGAGAGGAAGGUCCCCCACAUUGGAACUGAGACACGGUCCAAACUCCUACGGGAGGCAGCA
rnacentral:rRNA from 1 species